rnacentral:rRNA from 1 species
GAGUUUGAUCCUGGCUCAGGAUGAACGCUGGCGGCGUGCUUAACACAUGCAAGUCGAACGAAGCAAUAGGAAGGAAGUUUUCGGAUGGAAUUCAUAUUGACUGAGUGGCGGACGGGUGAGUAACGCGUGGGUAACCUGCCUCAUACAGGGGGAUGACAGUUAGAAAUGACUGCUAAUACCGCAUAAGCGCACAGAAUCGCAUGAUUCGGUGUGAAAAACUCCGGUGGUAUGAGAUGGACCCGCGUCUGAUUAGCUAGUUGGUGGGGUAAAGGCCUACCAAGGCGACGAUCAGUAGCCGACCUGAGAGGGUGAUCGGCCACAUUGGGACUGAGACACGGCCCAAACUCCUACGGGAGGCAGCAGUGGGGAAUAUUGCACAAUGGGGGAAACCCUGAUGCAGCAACGCCGCGUGAGUGAAGAAGUAUUUCGAUAUGUAAAGCUCUAUCAGCAGGGAAGAAGAUGACGGUACCUGAGUAAGAAGCCCCGGCUAACUACGUGCCAGCAGCCGCGGUAAUACGUAGGGGGCAAGCGUUAUCCGGAUUUACUGGGUGUAAAGGGAGCGUAGACGGCAUAGCAAGUCUGAAGUGAAAGCCCAAGGCUCAACCAUGGGACUGCUUUGGAAACUGUUAAGCUAGAGUGCUGGAGAGGUAAGCGGAAUUCCUAGUGUAGCGG